ACAUAGAGAAGCUGAACAGCCUG
rnacentral:piRNA from 1 species